UCAUGAUUUACAUUUGAGUGAGUGGCGAACUGGUGAGUAACACGUGGGAAACCUGCCCAGAAGCGGGGGAUAACACCUGGAAACAGAUGCUAAUACCGCAUAACAACUUGGACCGCAUGGUCCGAGCUUGAAAGAUGGCUUCGGCUAUCACUUUUGGAUGGUCCCGCGGCGUAUUAGCUAGAUGGUGGGGUAACGGCUCACCAUGGCAAUGAUACGUAGCCGACCUGAGAGGGUAAUCGGCCACAUUGGGACUGAGACACGGCCCAAACUCCUACGGGAGGCAGCAGUAGGGAAUCUUCCACAAUGGACGAAAGUCUGAUGGAGCAACGCCGCGUGAGUGAAGAAGGGUUUCGGCUCGUAAAACUCUGUUGUUAAAGAAGAACAUAUCUGAGAGUAACUGUUCAGGUAUUGACGGUAUUUAACCAGAAAGCCACGGCUAACUACGUGCCAGCAGCCGCGGUAAUACGUAGGUGGCAAGCGUUGUCCGGAUUUAUUGGGCGUAAAGCGAGCGCAGGCGGUUUUUUAAGUCUGAUGUGAAAGCCUUCGGCUCAACCGAAGAAGUGCAUCGGAAACUGGGAAACUUGAGUGCAGAAGAGGACAGUGGAACUCCAUGUGUAGCGGUGAAAUGCGUAGAUAUAUGGAAGAACACCAGUGGCGAAGGCGGCUGUCUGGUCUGUAACUGACGCUGAGGCUCGAAAGUAUGGGUAGCAAACAGGAUUAGAUACCCUGGUAGUCCAUACCGUAAACGAUGAAUGCUAAGUGUUGGAGGGUUUCCGCCCUUCAGUGCUGCAGCUAACGCAUUAAGCAUUCCGCCUGGGGAGUACGGCCGCAAGGCUGAAACUCAAAGGAAUUGACGGGGGCCCGCACAAGCGGUGGAGCAUGUGGUUUAAUUCGAAGCUACGCGAAGAACCUUACCAGGUCUUGACAUACUAUGCAAAUCUAAGAGAUUAGACGUUCCCUUCGGGGACAUGGAUACAGGUGGUGCAUGGUUGUCGUCAGCUCGUGUCGUGAGAUGUUGGGUUAAGUCCCGCAACGAGCGCAACCCUUAUUAUCAGUUGCCAGCAUUAAGUUGGGCACUCUGGUGAGACUGCCGGUGACAAACCGGAGGAAGGUGGGGAUGACGUCAAAUCAUCAUGCCCCUUAUGACCUGGGCUACACACGUGCUACAAUGGAUGGUACAACGAGUUGCGAACUCGCGAGAGUAAGCUAAUCUCUUAAAGCCAUUCUCAGUUCGGAUUGUAGGCUGCAACUCGCCUACAUGAAGUCGGAAUCGCUAGUAAUCGCGGAUCAGCAUGCCGCGGUGAAUACGUUCCCGGGCCUUGUACACACCGCCCGUCACACCAUGAGAGU
rnacentral:rRNA from 1 species